AUAAUUAGUUGUUAUCUACAGAAAUCUGAGUGACGGCGCUCGUGCACUUCCUCUCGCUUGAUUGACAGCUCGUCAACAGCGCUCGCGCCCUGCACGCGAAGCGAUGGAGCUUUCUGGCAAAUCCACAAGUACAUGCGACUACAUCACACACAAACCAUCAAAACAGACACAUACGGUCUCCUAACAGCACAUUUCAAAACAGCCUGAGACGGAUUUUCAGCAGACACUCUUAACGUGAGUUUUUAGGGAGAACGAGUUAAAGUUAGUAAUUCCCCUGAGGAGAGCGGUGGUCACACAGCUCCCUCUACAUCAACAAUAACACGCUGGAAGCUUUCUACAACACAUCCGCUACAAAACCAUCUCUCGUGCAACUUCAGCCACGAGAACAGAGGUUAAAUGCAUUAUAACGGCCUCUUAAUGCAGCAGGUAAGUAGUACGCGUACUUCUAACGGUACAAUAAGAUCACCCUGCACACUAUCCGACUGGAAAUUGAGCGCAGCGUUUUACCUUUAGUUCCGCACUCUCCGCCAUCUUGUGACUGCUAGCGCAGGCGUGACGCUAUCGGGUCACGUGGUGUGUACGCUCAGGUCGUUGCCGGCGUAACCGUUCACACGUUUUUCAAACAGUAGUGUUCAAAGUGUUGAUCUACGUUUUUGAGAGGAAAGCCUGUAUGUUUUGGAAAAGUUAAUGUGAUUACUGCCUCAAAAACAGUGGAAUGUUCAAAUGCCAGUGAAUAGCCUACUUGGGAUGGAUAGUGAUUCAGCAGUCCUCAGGCCUCAGUGCUCGGUGUGCGUAACUUGAACCUCUCAAACUGAGUGUAAGUGGAGAAUUCCUUUAGGGGAGGUUUACAGAUGUCACUGGGAUCCUGGGAUACAGUUUUGAGUUAAGGUGGUAAGAGGGGUGGCUUGAAUGUGCAGGUCCCUGUGCAGUGGCGUGGAGUGAGCAUUUUGCAGGAGAAAUGGUGAAGAGCGUCAUGAGCUUCUAGGGAAAAGGUCGAUUUAGUGCCAUGAAUCACAGCACAAGGGAAAUCUAAAGCUAAACCUAUAGAAUUCUUUACUGAAUCAUGCGACUUUCUCCAAAUGUCACAGUGACACACAAUGAUACACCAUAUACUGUAUGUGUAAUGAUUGAAGAUUAGAAAGUGCAUGAAGAUUAGAUCAAACUCCUUUCUAAUCAUCACUACUUUACAGUUAGUCAAAUGCACAUUUUGAUGUUUUAGUGCUUUUUAAGUACAUUCAAUUGUUUAAAAAAAGUAGCACUUGCAUUUAAUUCUUUUAGAAUAAUGUAACAAAAAAAGUUUAUGGUUGAUAGUGUAUGUCUCUAAAUUACCUUUAAGCUUCUGCUGAAUUGCAUAACGAGACUUUCUCUCCUGAUCCAACUCGUUGCACAAUGUGUCUAAAUGUAAAAAAAAAAAACAUAAAUUAUUUGGGGUGGGUCACAAACAGUAAAUGUUUUAGAAUCCCUGUGACCUAAUAUUUCCUUGAAUUAUUCUGUCUGUCUGAAAGUAUGCAAGUGUUACUUUUUCUAAGCUGUCCUUUUUUGUUUUCACUAGUGCAGAAUAUGUAUUACCUCGUACAAUCUGCAGCUGCUGGACCAUCUCCUCUCGAUAAGACAGUUCCCUCUUCAUUUGAUCCUGAAAAUUAUCUGUUAGAGGUCAACACGUAUUAUAUUAACUCAAGUUAUAAAUAGAAGAAAUGAUGCAGCAAAUGAAAGCAUGGUGUGAAUAUAUCCAUCUUUUAAUUACCUUUCAAACUUUGAAAUUCCCGUUCCAGUUUUUUUCUUAGCUCCACUUGCUCCAGGAGCUGCUUUUGGAGCUCCUCUGUGGAAACCGACAGAAAUCACAUCAUUUAUCAUAUCACUGUGACUUUUAAUCACCACACAUGUCCCAAUAGCUUUUGAGUAAGUUACAGUCUUUUAGAGAAAAUGAUCCCAAGUAAAUCAGAUUUUUUUUUUUUUAUCAUGUAUUUUCACUCUCUGUUUGGUUUUCUUGUCUAAUAGCGCUAUUUAGGUUACUAAGGCUAAACACACGGUCCCCGUGUUCUCAAGCAUGACAUUGCAAAAUAAUUAGGACAGUUGCCUGAGGGGUGUGUGGAAAACGAGCCUGGCAAUGUGGAUCGUCUGCAGUUCAAGGACAAUUCUCAGUUAGCCUAUACACAAUUGUGUAGAGAUCACGCGCAUUUGUACAUGCGUAAUGCGUGUGAAAUGGAGAAACAUUGCACACAAAGCGCUAUUUGCCUUAAAAAUAGACAUCGCCUUGUCUGUUUUUAAACAAUCAUAAAUGCCAAAUGGCUGCCUCUGUUUGUAAUUUGUAAUUUUAUCUUGUGUAUAAACUGUUAUUUCAACACCCUAACACAUUUGCUUAGCUAACAAUGGAAUAACACUGCUCAAAAUUGUCAAUAAAAUAUCCAAAUAUUUA